rnacentral:rRNA from 1 species
ACUCCUACGGGAGGCAGCAGUAGGGAAUCUUCCACAAUGGACGAAAGUCUGAUGGAGCAACGCCGCGUGAGUGAAGAAGGGUUUCGGCUCGUAAAACUCUGUUGUUAAAGAAGAACAUAUCUGAGAGUAACUGUUCAGGUAUUGACGGUAUUUAACCAGAAAGCCACGGCUAACUACGUGCCAGCAGCCGCGGUAAUACGUAGGUGGCAAGCGUUGUCCGGAUUUAUUGGGCGUAAAAGCGAGCGCAGGUCGGUUUUUAAGUCUGAUGUGAAAGCCUUCGGCUCAACCGAAGAAGUGCAUCGGAAACUGGGAAACUUGAGUGCAGAAGAGGACAGUGGAACUCCAUGUGUAGCGGUGAAAUGCGUAGAUAUAUGGAAGAACACCAGUGGCGAAGGCGGCUGUCUGGUCUGUAACUGACGCUGAGGCUCGAAAGUAUGGGUAGCAAACAGGAUUAGAUACCCCGUGGUAGGAUAGCG